AGGACGAACGCUGGCGGCGUGCUUAACACAUGCAAGUGGAGCGACGAACCAGGGCUUGCCCUGGGGCAGAGCCGCGAACGGGUGAGUAACACGUGGGUUACCUGCCUUGAUGACCGGGACAACCCGAGGAAACUCGGGCUAAUACCGGAUGUGCCCGCAAGGGGAAAGGAAGCUUCGGCCUCCGCGUCAAGAUGGGCCCGCGGCCCAUUAGCUUGUUGGUGAGGUAAUGGCUCACCAAGGCUUCGAUGGGUAGCUGGUCUGAGAGGACGAUCAGCCACACUGGGACUGAGACACGGCCCAGACUCCUACGGGAGGCAGCAGUGGGGAAUCUUGCGCAAUGCGCGAAAGCGUGACGCAGCAACGCCGCGUGGGGGAAGAAGGCUUUCGGGUUGUAAACCCCUUUCAGUUGGGACGAAGCUUCUCCGGUGAAUAGCCGGACGGAGUGACGGUACCUUCACAAGAAGCACCGGCUAACUACGUGCCAGCAGCCGCGGU
rnacentral:rRNA from 1 species